rnacentral:rRNA from 1 species
UAUUGGGCAAUGGGCGCAAGCCUGACCCAGCAACGCCGCGUGAAGGGAGAAGGCUUUCGGGGUGUAAACUUCUUUUGUCAGGGACGAAGCAAGUGACGGUACCUGACGAAUAAGCCACGGCCAACUACGUGCCAGCAGCCGCGGUAAUACGUAGGUGGCAAGCGUUAUCCGGAUUUACUGGGUGUAAAGGGCGUGUAGGCGGGGAAGCAAGUCAAAUGUGAAAACCACGGGCUCAACCUGUGGCCUGCAUUUGAAACUGUUUUUCUUGAGUGCUGGGGAGACAAUCGGAAUUCCGUGUGUAGCGGUGAAAUGCGUAGAUAUACGGAGGAGCACCAGUGGCGAAGGCGGAUUGCUGGACAGUAACUGACGCUGAGGCGCGAAAGCGUGGGGAGCAAACAG